UGCGAGGGUAGCUAAGCUUGGCUAAAAGUGCAGGACUUAAGAUCCUGUCCGGAAGCGGUUCGUGGGUUCGAAUCCCUCCCCUCGCAU
rnacentral:tRNA from 1 species